AUGCUGGAAAUUCACAUCUGUUGAAAAAAAAUGUCAGCAAGCAUAUAUGGAAUUCCCUACAUGAGGAUGACUUCUCUUGAACUCGCUGGAAACUUAUCAGGUUUUAUAAUGAAGCACUCUCAUCAAAUCACACUCACCUAACUUGGACGGGAAACAACAUGAAGCUCAGAAAAACAGGAGGUUACCUUCAGUUUGACUGAAGUACUCUGGGAACUUUGAGGACAGAAGGAGUUUGAUGAAGCUU